GGACCAUAGCUCAGUCGGUAGAGCACCUGACUUUUAAUCAGGGUGUCCCGCGUUCGAGUCGCGGAUAGAUCACCA
rnacentral:tRNA from 1 species